UGCACUCGAAAGCUGGCCUUCUCGUGGCGAGUGUGUUAAGUAGUAGGUCUAAAAAAUCUUCCAGUUUUACCUACGAAAACUAACAGCUA
rnacentral:ribozyme from 1 species